GCAGACGAAGGUGGGUACCGUGAGCCCCCGCGGCGCUGGGGGGGAACCAGGCGCGUUUAGGGGGGAACGGGGACGCCUCUGCUGCACAAACGAGGAUGGGGGUGCUGCAAGGGUUUCUGAAUCUGCAAGGAGCUUUGCCUUCACAUGCGCUUAAAUGUCUUUCAUGAUCAAAGAGACUCAAAACUCUCAUCCUCCCAAAUGUCUCCCGCCCUCCCUCUUCAUACUUGAAAGCUAACAAUCAAACGAAUUCUCACUGGACCCAGCAACCAGGACUUUAAAAGGAAAAGG